rnacentral:pre_miRNA from 1 species
GAGACACCCUUAUGGGGCAGGACUUGCUUCACUGGGGCUUUGGUGCUCACUGAGUCUGCCCCUUCAGUGUGUUGCU